rnacentral:lncRNA from 1 species
AUAUAAAUAUAAAUUUGUUUAUUACAUCAAAUUGUCUUUGGCAUUGAUUUUAAUAUAAUUAGUAAAUACUAGUAUAUAUGCAAGGGCUUAAAAUAUUGAUUUUUCUGAAUUUAAAGAAUAAAGUUACCUCCUAUAGACCAUACACAAGGUAAUAUCAUUUGAACUUUAUAUUGUGAAUAUUGAGGUUUUCAGGUUUACAACAAAAUAAGAAAGAUUUAUAUGCUCAAAU